UCAAGUUAUUAAGGGCGCAGGGCGGAUGCCUUGGCACUAAGAGCCGAUGAAGGACGCGAUAAGCUGCGAUAAGCUUCGGGGAGUUGCACGUAAACUUUGAUCCGAAGAUUUCCGAAUGAGGAAACUCACUUAGAGUAAUGUCUAAGUAUCAUUAAGUGAAUACAUAGCUUAAUGAGGGGAACCCGGGGAACUGAAACAUCUAAGUACCCGGAGGAAAAGAAAGAAAUUCGAUUCCGUAAGUAGCGGCGAGCGAACGCGGAAUAGCCCAAACCAGUGAAGUUUUCUUCGCUGGGGUUG
rnacentral:rRNA from 1 species